rnacentral:rRNA from 1 species
GAAGAAGACACCGGCUAACUACCGUGUCCAGCAGCCGCGGUAAGUACGGUAGGGUAGGCGAGCGUUAAUUCGGAAUUACUUGGGCGUAAAGACGCAUGCAGGUGGUUUGUUUAAGUCUAGACUGUGUAAAGACCCGGGGCGUCAACCUACGGAAUUAGCAUUUGAAACUGGCAAAACUAGAGUACUGUAGAGGGGGUAGAAUUUCAGGUGUAGCGGUGAAAUGCGUAGAGAUCUGAAGGAAUACCGGUGGCGAAGGCGGCCCCCUGGACAGAUACUGACACUCAGAUGCGAAAGCGUGGGGAGCAAACAGGAUUAGAUACCCUGGUAG